rnacentral:rRNA from 1 species
AGUGAACGCUGGCGGUAGGCCUAACACAUGCAAGUCGAACGGCAGCACAGGAGAGCUUGCUCUCUGGGUGGCGAGCGGCGGACGGGUGAGGAAUACAUCGGAAUCUACUCUGUCGUGGGGGAUAACGUAGGGAAACUUACGCUAAUACCGCAUACGACCUACGGGUGAAAGCAGGGGAUCUUCGGACCUUGCGCGAUUGAAUGAGCCGAUGUCGGAUUAGCUAGUUGGCGGGGUAAAGGCCCACCAAGGCGACGAUCCGUAGCUGGUCUGAGGGGAUGAUCAGCCACACUGGAACUGAGACACGGUCCAGACUCCUACGGGAGGCAGCAGUGGGGAAUAUUGGACAAUGGGCGCAAGCCUGAUUCAGCCAUACCGCGUGGGUGAAGAAGGCCUUCGGGUUGUAAAGCCCUUUUGUUGGGAAAGAAAUCCAGCUGGCUAAUACCCGGUUGGGAUGACGGUACCCAAAGAACAAGCACCGGCUAACUUCGUGCCAGCCGCCGCCGUAA